GAUGAACGCUGGCGGCGUGCAUAACACAUUCAAGUCGAACGGACAUAUGUUUUCGGAUAUAUGUUAGUGGCGGACGGGUGAGUAACGCGUGAGCAACCUGCCUGUGUGGGUGGCAUAACAUCGGGAAACUGAUGCUAAGACCGCAUAAAGCAUAAUUGUACCAUGACAGAUCUGCCAAAGAAUGAUCGCACACAGAUGGGUUCGCGUCAGAUUAGGCAGUUGGUGAGGUAAUGGCUCACCAAAACAACGAUCGGUAGCCGGACUGAGAGGUUGAACGGCCCCAUUGGAACUGAGAAACGGUCCAGACUCCUACGGGAGGCAGCAGUGGGGAAUAUUGGGCAAUGGGCGAAAGCCUGACCCAGCGACGCCGCGUGAGGGAAGACGUUCUUCGGAUUGUAAACCUCUCUCAGCAGGGAAGAAGAAGUGACGGUACCUGCAGAAGAAGCCACGGCUAACUACGUGCCAGCCGCCGCUGUAAGAC
rnacentral:rRNA from 1 species